rnacentral:rRNA from 1 species
CGCGUAGGCAGACUUUCAAGUCGGAUGUGAAAUCUCCAGGCUUAACUUGGAGCUUGCAUCCGAUACUGUUGGUCUUGAGUAUAUCAGAGGAAAGCGGAAUUCCAGGUGUAGCGGUGAAAUGCGUAGAUAUCUGGAAGAACACCAGUAGCGAAGGCGGCUUUCUGGGGUAUAACUGACGCUGAAGCGCGAAAGCUAGGGGAGCAAACA